rnacentral:rRNA from 1 species
UGGCGAACGGGUGAGUAACACGUGGGCAAUCUGCCCUUCACUCUGGGACAAGCCCUGGAAACGGGGUCUAAUACCGGAUAACACUCUCGCAGGCAUCUGCGAGGGUUAAAAGCUCCGGCGGUGAAGGAUGAGCCCGCGGCCUAUCAGCUUGUUGGUGAGGUAAUGGCUCACCAAGGCGACGACGGGUAGCCGGCCUGAGAGGGCGACCGGCCACACUGGGACUGAGACACGGCCCAGACUCCUACGGGAGGCAGCAGUGGGGAAUAUUGCACAAUGGGCGAAAGCCUGAUGCAGCGACGCCGCGUGAGGGAUGACGGCCUUCGGGUUGUAAACCUCUUUCAGCAGGGAAGAAGCGAGAGUGACGGUACCUGCAGAAGAAGCGCCGGCUAACUACGUGCCAGCAGCCGCGGUAAUACGUAGGGCGCAAGCGUUGUCCGGAAUUAUUGGGCGUAAAGAGCUCGUAGGCGGCUUGUCACGUCGAUUGUGAAAGCCCGAGGCUUAACCUCGGGUCUGCAGUCGAUACGGGCUAGCUAGAGUGUGGUAGGGGAGAUCGGAAUUCCUGGUGUAGCGGUGAAAUGCGCAGAUUCAGAGGAACACCGGUGGCGAAGGCGGAUCUCUGGGCCAUUACUGACGCUGAGGAGCGAAAGCGUGGGGAGCGAACAGGAUUAGAUACCCUGGUAGUCCACGCCGUAAACGGUGGGAACUAGGUGUUGGCGACAUUCCACGUCGUCG